CAACUUCUGCAUCAGUGAUGCAUUUUCCAUAUGAAGUCAUGAAGAAUACAACUACAUCAAGAGAUAACAGUUCUUAAAUAAAGCACAAAGAAUUGCAGAUUUUUGUACGCACAGAGUGUCCAGAGGAGCGAGGUCAGUCCUCACCUUCCACCGUGCAACUGUUAGGAGCACAUUUUGUAGAGAGCACCUUAAAACAGCAAAAUCCUAAAGCCUGCUCUCCAGGCCAGGAGAGGGAUACAAAGUUGCAUCCAAAGUUUUAUUCCAGUGCAACAACACUAACUUAUAUCAGCAUGUUAUAAGACUUCUGAGACUGAUGGCAGGAUCAUUAAAAUAAUUUGAAUGGAGAGUAGUUCCUCACAGGGGGAGCCAGAAAUAACCUUUUUCUCUGUCAACGUGUAAGGCAAAGAUCAGUUAAUCUACAAGCAGCAGCCUGACCCAGAGACCACGAAAGAGCUGACUUUCAAGCACAUUUUCUACGUAAGGAAUCUUGAGCUUGGACA